UUUGGGUCGUCCCAGCAACCCAAUCGCGUCAAAGUGUUUCAAAACAUUAUGUGAAAACCAAUUUUAAAAUAAUUUUUACCCAUUUUGAAAUAUUCCAAACACUGAAAAGGAACAGACAUGUCUGCCAGUGUUGUUCCAUACACUCCUAAAAAGAAGUCAGAUGCUUUGCCAUCCAUAGAUGCUACCAAUGAAAUACAAGAUCCGUUGGAUUUUUCAUUUUGUCGAUUAAACAAAGUAGAAGAUGCUUUGGAUGAAGAGCCUAGACUGUCUCCAAGGAAAGAUGCCUGCACAGCAGAAUCUGGAAAGUCUUUAAGUCGCUGUCUUCGAUUAAACAACAACAGUCUUCAGAAUAUUGAACGGCUUGGGGAAAUAAUUAAUGCCAAGUUUGAAAAUCCAAAGAACAUAGCUUGGAUAGACUUGUCAUUUAAUGAGCUGACAACUGUAGACCCUGUAUUAUUAGAAUUUACUGAGCUUCAGAUUCUGUAUCUACAUGGUAACCAAAUAGCUGACAUUAAAGAAAUUGGCAAGUUGUCUGGCCUUCCAAAAUUAAGAAAAAUCACACUCCAUGGAAACCCAUUGGAAAAAGCUAAGGGCUACAAGUUCCAAGUGUUGGCAAUGGUUCCUCAGCUUCAAGCAAUUGACUUCAGUCGUGUAACAAAGUGUGACAGAAAAACGGCAGAAGUCUGGAACAAAUUGAACAAUGCUCCC
rnacentral:misc_RNA from 1 species